UACAAUGUUCUGACUCUUCGUCUUAUUUGAAGUUUUUUUACGAUUAAUAUUUUUAUUCUUACUAGAUGAUAAAACAUGAAUAGUACUUUAUGCGUGAUUAUUUUUUAAAGUUUUUGUACAAAUUUUUCAAAUAAGACGAGUGGUUAAACAUUGGAUAUGAAAA
rnacentral:pre_miRNA from 1 species